GAUCAAGGGUUUGCUUGUUAGGGAAGAUGGAAUCCCUCCGUUGGUCUCUCUCUCAGAGUUUGGAAGUGCUCGAGCGAAGCACAAGGCUGAAACAUUACUUGGGUAUCUGAGAGAACCAAGGCAAGAGGCAUCCUCUUCUAACCCUUUGUAGAGGUAAUGAAAUUCUUAAGUGGGUUCUUGUCUAUUUGACUCUGUACAUAGUUGAGUGAGUGUUCUUCUCAUGGUUUUGUUUGUACAGUCUGUGAACUAACUUAGGUUAUGUCUAAACUAAAACUAGAUGUGGAGUGUGUUAUGUCUUGGUGGAUUAAAAAGGGUUUGGGUUG